rnacentral:misc_RNA from 1 species
UGGCUUGGUUAUGUUCAAAGUAGAGCAUCAAAUGUCCCAGUAUGAAAGUAUGGCAAGUUAAUAAGGGAAAGAGUGAGAAGGAGAAGGGGGAGACCUAUGCUAACAUGAAGGGAAAUGGUUCAAAGAAAUUACUAGUUUUGGAUAUUGAUUUGUAUUUGGUGUUUAACAAAGUUGGGUAGUGAAAAAUUAAGGACCUAUAUAGCCAACUUUAAUUAGUUUGACAUUAACACUUAGUUGUUAUUAUUUGUUUUUAAAUUGUCUAAGCUUAUAUAUGAUAAUAUUAUGAAAUUUGACCAUGUUCUUGCAUAAUAAUCACACUCACGCACCUAAGGAAUAAGCAAAUCACAAGAACAAUCACACACAGUGAAGAAACAUGAGAUUUACAUGGUUAUCCACAAGAUUCCUACUCUCUUAUACUAUUGAGAAAAGAUGUUACAACUCUAACAGCCUCUAAUUUGUAUCUAAGCUACCCUUUAUAUAGUUUACACUCUUAGGGUUUCUAAAAAUAUACUAGAGUCCUUUCCUAAACAGUAAAAGACUUUCUAGACUUAAUAGAAUUAGGAUUCCUAUCCUAAUAGGAAGUUCCAAAUCACCUUGAAAAUAGCGACCUAAUAUCGAUGUAACCAUUUUGGAUUGCAUAGGCCCCUCUAGAUUGCUCCAUUCAUCUUAAAUGCCAUCAACACAGCAAUACAUGUGGCCACGUACUCCGCUGGACAAAAUAAACCAAAGCUUAUGAUGUCUACACAGCCAUGUCAUUUGACAUAGCCAUGGUUGUGUACCUUUCUGGACAAAAGUGUCUGGAGCACACAAUGUUUACACAACCAUGUCAUUUGACACUCCCAUGGCUAUGUAACCUUCUGCCUUAGAUGAAAUCUAUUAUUUUUCUUCAUGGUUAGGGAUGUUAUGUGUGCACAACUUCCCUUUUUUUGGAAACUUUUAAGUAUGUAGCUAAUCUGCAAACAUAAGCCAAUUUUACUAAAUAGAAAUAAUAUUAUAUUUGUGACUUAAAAUCCUAAUAGAAUAUUAAGAGAUAUCUUUUCCUAAUUUGAAUGGGAGAAAUAUUUUAAAAUAGGAUGGAGGAAUAUUUUCUA